UACGGGGGGGGCAAGCGUUGUUCGGAAUUACUGGGCGUAAAGAGCGUGUAGGCGGUCCGGUAAGUCCGCUGUGAAAGUCGGGGGCUCAACCCUCGAAUGCCGGUGGAUACUGUCGGGCUAGAGUGCGGAAGAGGCGAGUGGAAUUCCUGGUGUAGCGGUGAAAUGCGCAGAUAUCAGGAGGAACACCUAUUGCGAAGGCAGCUCGCUGGGACGUUACUGACGCUGAGACGCGAAAGCGUGGGGAGCAAACAGG
rnacentral:rRNA from 1 species